rnacentral:rRNA from 1 species
GGAGUCACGCCAGAAAUCUUACCCGGAGAGACAGCAGGAUGAAGGUCAAGCUGAAGACUUUACCAGACAAGCUGAGAGGUGGUGCAUGGCCGUCGCCAGCUCGUGCCGUGAGAUGUCCUGUUAAGUCAGGUAACGAGCGAGAUCCCUGCCUCUAGUUGCCACCAUUACUCUCAGGAGUAGUGGGGCGAAUUAGCGGGACCGCCGCAGUUAAUGCGGAGGAAGGAAGGGGCCACGGCAGGUCAGUAUGCCCCGAAACUCUGGGGCCACACGCGGGCUGCAAUGGUAGCGACAAUUGGUUUCGAAUCCGAAAGGAUGAGGUAAUCCACAAACGCUACCACAGUUAUGACUGAGGGCUGCAACUCGCCCUCACGAAUAUGGAAUCCCUAGUAACUGCGUGUCAUUAUCGCGCGGUGAAUACGUCCCUGCUCCUUGCACACACCGCCCGUCGUUUCAUUGAAGUGAGCUUUUAGCGAGGUGACGUCUGAUUGGCGUUAUCGAACUUGAGGUUCGUGACAAGGGAAAAGUCGUAACAAGGUGACCGUAGGGGAACCUGCGGUCGGAUCA